GCCGUGGCUCAGUGGCUGAGCAUCUGCUUUGCAUCCAGAAGGUUGAAGGUUCAAUCCCUGGCAUCUCCA